UGCAGUCGAGCGGGGGAAGGUAGCUUGCUACUGGACCUAGCGGCGGACGGGUGAGUAAUGCUUAGGAAUCUGCCUAUUAGUGGGGGACAACAUUCCGAAAGGAAUGCUAAUACCGCAUACGUCCUACGGGAGAAAGCAGGGGACCUUCGGGCCUUGCGCUAAUAGAUGAGCCUAAGUCGGAUUAGCUAGUUGGUGGGGUAAAGGCCUACCAAGGCGACGAUCUGUAGCGGGUCUGAGAGGAUGAUCCGCCACACUGGGACUGAGACACGGCCCAGACUCCUACGGGAGGCAGCAGUGGGGAAUAUUGGACAAUGGGGGGAACCCUGAUCCAGCCAUGCCGCGUGUGUGAAGAAGGCCUUAUGGUUGUAAAGCACUUUAAGCGAGGAGGAGGCUACUAGUAUUAAUACUACUGGAUAGUGGACGUUACUCGCAGAAUAAGCACCGGCUAACUCUGUGCCAGCAGCCGCGGUAAUACAGAGGGUGCGAGCGUUAAUCGGAUUUACUGGGCGUAAAGCGUGCGUAGGCGGCCAUUUAAGUCAAAUGUGAAAUCCCCGAGCUUAACUUGGGAAUUGCAUUCGAUACUGGAUGGCUAGAGUAUGGGAGAGGAUGGUAGAAUUCCAGGUGUAGCGGUGAAAUGCGUAGAGAUCUGGAGGAAUACCGAUGGCGAAGGCAGCCAUCUGGCCUAAUACUGACGCUGAGGUACGAAAGCAUGGGGAGCAAACAGGAUUAGAUACCCUGGUAGUCCAUGCCGUAAACGAUGUCUACUAGCCGUUGGGGCCUUUGAGGCUUUAGUGGCGCAGCUAACGCGAUAAGUAGACCGCCUGGGGAGUACGGUCGCAAGACUAAAACUCAAAUGAAUUGACGGGGGCCCGC
rnacentral:rRNA from 1 species